rnacentral:rRNA from 1 species
CCUGGUGAUAAUGGCGGAGGGGUCACACCUGUAUCCAUUCCGAACACAGAAGUUAAGUCCUCCAGCGCCGAUGGUACUGCAUAUUCUUUUUGUGGGAGAGUAGGUCAUUGCCGGGA